UACGCAUCAGGUAUCCAAGCAGAUGAAGUACUGAUAAAAUCGUGCGAGGUUCGAUGCUGCGACACUAACAGCUGCAAUGGCGUUAUUAUGACUGAUAGCCCGGAAACCACGGUCGUAACGGCAUCAGAAUCUCCUGACCUUACAACUUCUGGGACGAAAAUAAUUGCACCGUCAUUUGCAAUAUUCAUUGCUAUAAUGUUUUCAGUGUAUAUGGAAUUCAAAUUUGAUUAAGC